rnacentral:rRNA from 1 species
GACGUAGGAGGCGAGCGUUAUCCGGAUUCACUGGGCGUAAAGCGCAUGUAGGCGGUUGCACAAGUCCGUUGUUAAAGCCCCUGGCUCAACUGGGGGAGGUCAAUGGAGACUGUGCGACUUGAGGGCAAUAGAGGCACGUGGAACUCCCGGUGUAGCGGUGGAAUGCGUAGAGAUCGGGAAGAACACCAGUGGCGAAGGCGACGUGCUGGGUUGCACCUGACGCUGAGGCGCGAAAGCCAGGGGAGCAAACGGG